rnacentral:rRNA from 1 species
UACAGAGGGGGCAAGCGUUGUUCGGAAUUACUGGGCGUAAAGGGCGCGUAGGCGGCCCGCUAAGUCGAACGUGAAAUCCCCGAGCUCAACUCGGGAACUGCGUCCGAUACUGGCGGGCUUGAAUCCGGGAGAGGGAUGCGGAAUUCCAGGUGUAGCGGUGAAAUGCGUAGAUAUCUGGAGGAACACCGGUGGCGAAGGCGGCGUUCUGGACUGCAACUGACACUGAAAAACGAAAGCCAGGGGAGCAAACGGG